rnacentral:rRNA from 1 species
AACGAACGCUGGCGGCAGGCCUAACACAUGCAAGUCGAACGAGAAGCCACCUUCGGGUGGUGGACAGUGGCAGACGGGUGAGUAACGCGUGGGAACGUGCCUUUCGGUUCGGAAUAACCCAGGGAAACUUGGGCUAAUACCGGAUACGCCCUUCGGGGGAAAGAUUCAUUGCCGAAAGAUCGGCCCGCGUCGGAUUAGCUAGUUGGUGGGGUAAUGGUCCACCAAGGCGACGAUCCGUAGCUGGUCUGAGAGGAUGACCAGCCACACUGGGACUGAGACACGGCCCAGACUCCUACGGGAGGCAGCAGUGGGGAAUAUUGGACAAUGGGCGAAAGCCCGAUCCAGCCAUGCCGCGUGGGUGAAGAAGGCCUUAGGGUUGUAAACCCCUUUCAGCGGGGAAGAUAAUGACGGUACCCGCAGAAGAAGUCCCGGCUAACUCCGUGCCAGCCGCCGCCGUAAAAC